AUACGUAGGUGGCGAGCGUUGUCCGGAAUUAUUGGGCGUAAAGGGUGCGUAGGCGGCCUUGUAAGUCAGAUGUGAAAUCUCACGGCUUAACCGUGGUAAGCAUUUGAAACUGUGAGGCUUGAGUACAGGAGAGGAGAGUGGAAUUCCUAGUGUAGCGGUGAAAUGCGUAGAUAUUAGGAGGAAUACCAGUGGCGAAGGCGACUCUGGGGACUGUAACAGACGCGUAGGCACGAAAGCGUGGGGAGAAAACAGGAUUAGCUGCCCUGGUAGGCCACGCCGUAAACGAUGAGCGCUAGGUGUCGGGGGUCAAACCUCGGUGCCGCAGUUAACACAUUAAGCACUCCGCCUGGGGAGUACGGUGGCAACACUGAAACUCAAAUGAAUUGGCGGGG
rnacentral:rRNA from 1 species